CACGUAGGGGGCAAGCGUUGUCCGGAUUUAUUGGGCGUAAAGAGCUCGUAGGCGGUUCGGCAAGUCGGGUGUGAAAGUCCAGGGCUCAACCCUGGGAUGCCGGUGGAUACUGUCGGACUAGAGUACGGAAGAGGCGAGUGGAAUUCCCGGUGUAGCGGUGAAAUGUGCAGAUAUCGGGAGGAACACCAAUUGCGAAGGCAGCUCGCUGGGACGUCACUGACGCUGAGACGCGAAAGCGUGGGGAGCGAACAGG
rnacentral:rRNA from 1 species